CCUGGAGGAGCCGAGAGUUCGGGACCCCACUCCUCAGUGUGCCCUCAGAGAACAGCACCCAUUUACUCCCGUCUGCCUGACCUCUCUGGCCGCGCACCGAGCUCACCGAGCCUGCAACAGGUUCAAGAAAAUUUCUUAGAAGAGAGAGAGAGAGAGAG